rnacentral:lncRNA from 1 species
GACUGUCCAUGACUAAAAACUUCAGCAGUGACUCAGCAUGGACCAGGAAAUGGGACUAUUAACUAGAGCAGGUCAUAGUUAUUGGAAUCACGGCAAAAGGCCCUUUUCUCCGGCAUCUUAGCAAAAGGGAUACAGUGAGAUUUUCCAAAGUCAACAAAGUCAGAUUCUUUGAAUUUGCAAAUCUUCCUUGUCACUUCUCGGCAUGAAGAGCAUUGCUUAUAGGUUUCAAGAAUCGUACCAUUAUUCUUUCAAUUAGCAUUUUAUGUACUACCCUAUGUCCAUCUUCUCUCAAUGGGACUCUCCUGAAAGCAUGCUGUCUUUUUCAGCCUGUUUCUGUGAAGAGGAGAGCAUGAAAUAUGUGGAAUAUCGUGCUGAGACCUUUAUCACAAGACAGAACCCAGAGGAUUCAGACAGACGAAGAAGUCAGGAAGCUUGCAUGUCAUAUCCUGCUGGAGGCACAAAAACCACAAGACUGAUGGUCCCAAGGAGAACUUAAUUGAGACGACUGGAGAAACAGAAACAGCAAGAGGAGGAAAGAAUGAGAACCCUUGGUCACGAACAGGAGAAUGUUUUUGAGGAUUUGGAAACUGGGGAGCAUGAGACUUUCUCUUGGGAGAGUUGAAACAGGGGUAACAUAAAUUGAC